rnacentral:rRNA from 1 species
CAUGCAAGUCGAACGCUGAAGCUUGGUGCUUGCACUGGGUGGAUGAGUGGCGAACGGGUGAGUAAUACGUGAGUAACCUGCCCUUGACUCUGGGAUAAGCCUGGGAAACUGGGUCUAAUACUGGAUAUGACAUGUCACCGCAUGGUGGUGUGUGGAAAGGGUUUUACUGGUUUUGGAUGGGCUCACGGCCUAUCAGCUUGUUGGUGGGGUAAUGGCUCACCAAGGCGACGACGGGUAGCCGGCCUGAGAGGGUGACCGGCCACACUGGGACUGAGACACGGCCCAGACUCCUACGGGAGGCAGCAGUGGGGAAUAUUGCACAAUGGGCGGAAGCCUGAUGCAGCGACGCCGCGUGAGGGAUGACGGCCUUCGGGUUGUAAACCUCUUUCAGCACGGAAGAAGCGAAAGUGACGGUACGUGCAGAAGAAGCGCCGGCUAACUACGUGCCAGCAGCCGCGGUAAUACGUAGGGCGCAAGCGUUGUCCGGAAUUAUUGGGCGUAAAGAGCUCGUAGGCGGUUUGUCGCGUCUGCUGUGAAAGCCCGGGGCUUAACCCCGGGUGUGCAGUGGGUACGGGCAGACUUGAGUGCAGUAGGGGAGACUGGGAUUCCUGGUGUAGCGGUGAAAUGCGCAGAUAUCAGGAGGAACACCGAUGGCGAAGGCAGGUCUCUGGGCUGUUACUGACGCUGAGGAGCGAAAGCAUGGGGAGCGAACAGG